rnacentral:rRNA from 1 species
UGCCUCGGGACGCAGCAGUGAGGAAUAUUGGUCAAUGGUCGGGAGACUGAACCAGCCAAGCCGCGUGAGGGAUGAAGGUACAGAGUAUCGUAAACCUCUUUUGUCAGGGAACAAAGGCGGGGACGCGUCCCCGGAUGAGUGUACCUGAAGAAAAAGCAUCGGCUAACUCCGUGCCAGCAGCCGCGGGAAUACGGAGGAUGCGAGCGUUAUCCGGAUUUAUUGGGUUUAAAGGGUGCGUAGGGGGAUUUUUAAGUCAGCGGUAAAAUGUCCGGGCUCAACCCGGGCCCGCCGGUUAAACUGGGGAU